UUCGGGUAUCUCUGUUCAUCAUUAUUAUUGAAGUAUUUGCUUGAUAUUUGAUUUAAUUCUGUCUGUUUUUGUACAAUUUAAUUUGUUAUUAUUUGUAUGUAUCGAAGUGAUUUUAUUUGUUGUUGCACUUUAUUAUUGUUCUUGCACUACAAAUUAUUGUAUAAUUAUUGGUUGACUCUUGAAGGACCUCCUGAGGAAACAUGGAUCAGAGAAGAGGUGCUGUGAGACAGGUGGAGUAUCCUGUUACACGUAAGGUUAUGUCUUUAGGAUGUAGCAGUCCUGAUUUUCUUUCACAUAGGUCACAUCAAAAAAAAAUUAAGAUCUUCUCUUGGUGUGUAUUUGUGAAAUAAGUGAUUAAAAUAUUUCCUUCGCUUCAUACUCUUUUCACACAGAAAGGCCUGUUUGAAGCUUCUCAACCACCUUCCGAGUCUGCCUAAAGAAGAGGUCUCUUCAUUUGACAAGUAUUGCUCUGACUCACCAAGACCACACUGCUACACACCUGCUGCUCCAAAGACAGUAACUGAAAGAACUCUGAUCAGAGCCAUUGUUUUCUGCUGCUCCUGGGGGACUUUGAGGAUUAUUUAGAGAAAGGCUGUCUAUAAAAGUCUUUAUCCCCACCCAGAACCUGCUCUACUGUCUUAGCAAAAAGAGGUGCAAUAAUCUGGCUCAUCGUAUCAAGGGGGAAUGUAACAAUAGCUUCCCUAUUUUUGAUAAUUCAGUGUUUGUACUGUGGCUAUGUAAUUUACCAUAAGUGUUUGAAUUGCCUUUUGAG